rnacentral:rRNA from 1 species
AGUGAACGCUGGCGGUAGGCCUAACACAUGCAAGUCGAACGGCAGCACAGUAAGAGCUUGCUCUUACGGGUGGCGAGUGGCGGACGGGUGAGGAAUACAUCGGAAUCUACUUUUUCGCGGGGGAUAACGUAGGGAAACUUACGCUAAUACCGCAUACGACCUACGGGUGAAAUCAGGGGAUCUUCGGACCUUGCGCGAUUGAAUGAGCCGAUGUCGGAUUAGCUAGUUGGCGGGGUAAAGGCCCACCAAGGCGACGAUCCGUAGCUGGUCUGAGAGGAUGAUCAGCCACACUGGAACUGAGACACGGUCCAGACUCCUACGGGAGGCAGCAGUGGGGAAUAUUGGACAAUGGGCGCAAGCCUGAUCCAGCCAUACCGCGUGGGUGAAGAAGGCCUUCGGGUUGUAAAGCCCUUUUGUUGGGAAAGAAAGGCAGCAGGUUAAUACCCCGCUGUUCUGACGGUACCCAAAGAAUAAGCACCGGCUAACUUCGUG